rnacentral:rRNA from 1 species
AUACGUACCGCACGAACGUUAUUCGGAAUCACUGGGCUUAAAGGGUGCGUAGGCGGCUUGGAAGGUGGGGUGUGAAAUCCCUCGGCUCAACCGAGGAACUGCGUUCAAAACCACCAAGCUUGAGGAAGGCAGAGGUGAGCGGAACUGAUGGUGGAGCGGUGAAAUGCGUUGAUAUCAUCAGGAACACCGGUGGCGAAGGCGGCUCACUGGGCCUUUUCUGACGCUGAGGCACGAAAGCUAGGGGAGCGAACGGGAUUAGAUACCCCAGUAGUCC